CAAGAAGUUAUAAGCGAGAAGAGUAGAAGACCUUCGAAGAUAAGAUUUUGCGAGAGAAAAUCAUCCGAGAGUCAUGUCGCCACCCAAACAAUACCCCUCAAUAACAGCAUGUAGCGGCUCCAUCUAUCAGUCAAUAGCGGCUGAUCUCGAUGGCACGCUUCUCGUUUCCAGUAGUUCCUUCCCCUACUUCAUGCUCGUGGCUGUCGAAGCUGGAAGUCUCUUCCGUGGUCUCAUGUUGCUUCUGUCUCUACCUCUCGUGAUCAUCUCCUAUUUCUUUAUAUCUGAGGCCAUCGGGAUCCAAAUCCUAAUAUUCAUAUCCUUCGCUGGCCUCAAGAUCCGUGACAUCGAGCUGGCUUCCCGCGCUGUUUUGCCUAGGUUUUAUGCUGCGGAUGUGAGGAAGGAUAGCUAUGAGGUAUUUGACAGGUGCAAGAGGAAGGUGGUGGUGACGGCAAAUCCGACUAUUAUGGUGGAGCCAUUUGUGAAAGAUUUUCUUGGAGGAGACAAGGUUUUGGGUACGGAGAUCGAAGUAAACCCUAAAACUAAGAGGGCCACCGGAUUCGUAAAGAAGCCUGGCGUUUUGGUAGGCAAAUGGAAGAAGUUGGCCAUUUUGAAGGAGUUUGGAGAGGAAGCACCGGAUCUUGGGAUUGGAGACCGCAAGACUGAUCAUGAUUUCAUGUCAAUUUGCAAGGUCCGUGUUUACUUUUCCCUCUAUUUUCUUAAAUAUAACUAAUACCAUAUACUCCGUUAUGUUAGUGUAUACUAGAUAGUUAACAAGAUAGAAAGGUGAUUGAUCGAUGCUUCCAUUUAUCAUAUAAAGUUCUUUGUGCCAUUGUUUCAUGAGCUGUUAGCAGCUCACAGGAAAAAUAGCAAGGGUGGAAGGGCAGGAAAGCUGAUCUAUGGUUAAUGCUGGGACCCAUAGUAUUAAGCAUAUAUCCCCACAUCCCAACUGCCUGCAGCAACCAGCUAACCAAUUUGGUGGCUAUUAAAUUUUUGUCAAAACAUUAGAGUAAUUGGGUAUUUAUUAUAUAUACUAAGGAGAUAAACGGAUAAAAAUGAAUUAUUAAGUGUAUUCGAUGCAGAUAUACCUUAUCUCACAAUCAUGUGCGAUUCACUUCCUAUUAUAUAGGAAGGAUUAUAUAAUAGAAAGGAUUCUGUGAGAGAGGAAACUCUAUUUUUUAGUACUCCUGUGGUAUACUAAUAAUUAGCUAUGGAUAAAUGGGUAUUUAUUUUCUCAUAAAAGAUGAAUCCUUUCACUCAUUUUUUUAAAUGAAUUCCACAUUAUGACCAUGGGGCCUUGUAUUGAAUGCUAUUUGCAAUUUGAAAAAAAUAAUAAAAAAAAGACACGAACAAUGGGUGAUUAUAUGGGCACUGAAUACAUUUUUAGUAAGUAGUUUUCAAAAAUUUUUUAAAUUAAUUGUUAUGUUAAAUUUUUAUGAUAUGAAUACGAAAUGGAAUUUAAAUAAAAUUAAAUGAUAGUAAAAAAAAUUAAUUUUUACUGGUUUAAACUUAAAAUUUAAUUGUUAAUGUUGUUAUUUUAAUUUUUUUUAUAUUAAAAACUCUAGGGGCGUAUAGAAGUUUAUUAGAAGGUUUUAGUACUGCUAUCUUUUUAAUGGAUUUUUUUUUUAUGUUAUAUUAUAAAUCUAUGACAUAAUAGUGGGGAAACUUAUUAAGGCAAGAAUUUCCUCUUCCGAAUUAGGUUGCAGUGUCAUUAGUGAUCAAAUAUUUAAGAGCGGUUAUGCUAACGGACUGUAAAUUCAGGAGGGCUACAUGGUUCAUCGUAGCAAAUCAGCAACUCCGGUGUCACUGGAUCGCCUCAAAAGUCGUAUAAUUUUCCAUGACGGCCGCUUCGUCCAGCGACCAGACCCUCUCAACGCCCUUAUUGCCUAUCUUUGGCUGCCGUUUGGAUUCAUCCUCUCCAUCAUUCGCGUAUACUUCAAUCUCCCACUUCCAGAACGCAUCGUUCGCUACACAUACGAGAUGCUCGGCAUUCACCUGGUGAUCCGCGGGACACCACCUCCUGCCCCAUCGCCUGGAACCCCAGGGAACCUCUACGUGUGCAACCACCGCACAGCUUUGGAUCCUAUAGU
rnacentral:misc_RNA from 1 species